CCACAGAACAGGAAGCAUCUCAGUCCACUCCUGUUGAGUCAAAACUACAGUAGAACCAAAAGUAAUGGAUAAAUAUUCUAACCAGUGUCCAUAAAAGAGAUUCCUACUGUGGAGUCAAACUGGCUCAUAACUAAGCAAUAGAGAAGAGGAAAGUCAUUUUAAAUAAUAACAGGAGAGAAGCUGUGUAGCAGAGGAAAUAAGCGUAUUGCUACAAUACUAUCUUCAGGGCAAUAUGGCAAUAAAGUCACACUUUUGGGUUGUCCCUAACCUCACACCCCCAAUCAUGCACACAAUGAAUCCAGGCUAGGAGUAUUGUUGUUAGCUGUGAAACAUAUUCUCCCUACCCCCGUUUUGUGGUGUCUUGUUAUUUACAGCCUUUGUAUGCCCCACAAAGAGCAUAUCCUGUGAAGGCACACUCAUUUGCAAUGUCUAAAAAACAAUGCUUUAUUUAGGGAAGGAAACCCUUAGUAAUCUUAUACUGGUGAGUUAUAGCACUAUCUAACAAAACCCUACAGUGGAAAGAGGUGCUCCGUGUGGCUUUCCAUUAAAAAUCAAGAUGUUCGAAGGAUGAAUUCAUAAUGUUGGAGGGCAUCGUUUGAGCAACAUUUAUUUAUAUCUACAGGAGUGCAGCAUGAUCGCAGUGCAGUUUAUAAAGAAGCCCUUUUCCUGUCACCCUUGUGGAUUAGGUAGGAUUAAAGGGCUAUACAGAUGUACCCUGUACAAUGUGUGCCAUUACAAAAAAACACAGCAAGGUCAUGUCUUGUAACCUACACAACUACCAGGGUGGUCUUUUUUUUUCAGUAUAGGUCUGAUUAAUCCUGUAAAAAAAUCUAAAUACGUAUUGUCAAUUGGAUAAAGGUAACUGAUUCAUACUUAGGAUACCUUCCAAAAAGUAUGACCCCAGGUAGAUCAAAUGGGGGUAUGACUUGGGCAUGCAAGUGGUUGUGUAAACUAUACAAUGGGUAGAAGCUAGCUAUAUGAUAAUAAUCAAACUCUCACCAUGUAUUCGAUCUUUUAAGAAGUCUCUCAUAACCCAUCUCUUUAGAAAGGCUUAUGUCCUUCCAGAGUAACUUCUAUAUCACAAACCUGUCUCUUUUAAAAGACCACAAUUCACUCUCACCUCCAGUUCUGCUACUUCCCCACCUUGUUGUUUGGUUGCUAUCCCACCUGAUGCCCUUCAUAUUGUAUUUUUA